rnacentral:lncRNA from 1 species
ACUUGCAACCUAAGGUUUUUUAAUAAGUUCAGUAAAGUGGCUCAAGGGAUUUUGUCAACAUAUUGUUGUUAAUCAUUUAUAGGAGAUCGAGAAUUUGGCAAAUCUUGGAGGGCCAAAUUUCAUAUUUCAGUAGCUGGUAUCUAUAUCGGUUCAUUUAUAAUUUAUGUUUUUCAGUAUGCAAUUUGGAUUCUUCAAUUUUCUACAGAUCAUGAGCUUAAAGAAAGUCUAUUUAUUUUCCCUUUUUCCUAUAUUAUUUUCUUACUAAUUAGAGUAGGUUUCUUUUCCAAAAAUUGAUCUUUGAGAUAAUAUUUCCUUUUUCCAUAGUUCUAUAUAUCUUUAACAUACAUCAAUAUGAUUGUCUUCUCUUAGCAAACAAACUAACAAAAGAUCAAGCAUUUUACAUCAACUUCAUGUUUAUUGGUGAGUUGUCUUUUCCUUUUCAUCUAUUUCUAAUAAUAUUUUUGAGGGAAGGUUCUCUGUGCAGUAAACAAGCUAUGUGCUCGAAUUCAAGUUGUAACUUCAUUAGAAAUUGUAUCAACUGAAACUAGUUCUAAUUUUCAUUAACUGCAAAGAUUGGAUCGACAGGAUGGUUUGGUUCCAUCAUUGCCAUGACACU